rnacentral:rRNA from 1 species
UAGCAGUCCAAAAUAUUAGUCAAUGCUCGCAAGAGUGAACUAGCUAACUGAAAUCAACGGUGUGUCAUCGUUGAUAAAGUAAGGGAAAAGAAAUGAUACUACCUUACUAUUAGUGUCGUCCAAGUACUCGUGCCAGAAGACUCGGUAAGGCGAGAGACGCAAACGUUAGUCGUCCUAAUCAGGCGUAAAGGGUUUGUAGGCGGUUUUAAGCAUUUAAUCCUUUAAAAUCACAAUUUUAAUAUUAUUAAAAAAUAAAAAAGGGAGACAAUCAAUUAAAACUAGAAUCAAGAAGAGGUUAAAUUAAAUAAUACUUGGCGUAAGAUUGGUAUCUAUAGAGACCAAGUGGAAUACUAACGGCGAAGGCUUUUUUCCAAUAAUGAUUGACGCUAAGAAACUAAGGUGAGGAUAGAAAAAAGGAUUAGAGACCCUAGUAUCCCUCACUGUCAACGAUGAAUGGUAGUUACUAGAUAUAUGAAUAUUUGAAUAUUCAUUACCCAAAGGGUAAUCCAAAUCUAGAGGCGAUGUUAACACGAAAACCAUUCCGCCUUGUGAGUACGACUGCAAAGUUG